GACUUACAGGACACUCUUGGACAGCAGCAGGAGAGCUCUAGAGAUCCAUGCCUCUUCCCAUCUCUAAACUGCUUUUAAGAAAGUCUGAAAUUUUAAUAGAGCAAAGAAUUUGGAGGCAUAUCAACCUAGUUACCUAUGCUGGAUGUAUAAAUACUGCUGCAUCGUUUCGGCAAAUCACCCAACCUCUUUGAGGCUCAGUUCUAUCUCCGAGAGGAGAGAACCAAAGCCCAAUGAAGCUUGGUCACUUGCUGGUAAGUGCCUGACAUUGAUGAGUACCUUGCCAAGAAGUGUCAGGCAGCAGCUGACACCAAUCUAAAGAGAGAAGAAGAAAUUCUGAGCCUUUCUAUGAGGACGCUGCCUGGGCUUAGUAUACCUGCUUGCCUGAGAAAUUGUGAGAAGAAAGGAAAUGAACAUAGUAACAGGCCAGCCACUGCCAAAAUGAUACACUAUUAGCCACGCCAGCACUUCCAAAAUUAAGAUCUGCACAAAGUGAAGAAAGAAGAACCCCAGGUUGGCAUGGAACAUGUUCAUAGCCUCUGCGAUGCUCCACAAUUCUUGGAAAUCUUUUACCAACUGGGACUAUGAAAUAAAUAUUCAAAGAGUAAAUUAGCUCUUUCAGGGGAAAGGGAAUACAGAUGAACAUAAUUAAUAAUUUAUUUUAUUAAUUUUGUAUACAUCUCUUUUAUUAAUAGAAUUUUAUUAAUACAU
rnacentral:lncRNA from 1 species